rnacentral:rRNA from 1 species
AUUGAACGCUGGCGGCAGGCCUAACACAUGCAAGUCGGACGGUAGCACAGAGAGCUCGCUCUCGGGUGACGAGUGGCGGACGGGUGAGUAAUGUCUGGGGAUCUGCCCGAUAGAGGGGGAUAACCACUGGAAACGGUGGCUAAUACCGCAUAACGUCGCAAGACCAAAGAGGGGGACCUUCGGGCCUCUCACUAUCGGAUGAACCCAGAUGGGAUUAGCUAGUAGGCGGGGUAACGGCCCACCUAGGCGACGAUCCCUAGCUGGUCUGAGAGGAUGACCAGCCACACUGGAACUGAGACACGGUCCAGACUCCUACGGGAGGCAGCAGUGGGGAAUAUUGCACAAUGGGCGCAAGCCUGAUGCAGCCAUGCCGCGUGUAUGAAGAAGGCCUUCGGGUUGUAAAGUACUUUCAGCGGGGAGGAAGGCGAUGUGGUUAAUAACCGCAUUGAUUGACGUUACCCGCAGAAGAAGCACCGGCUAACUCCGUGCCAGCAGCCGCCGUAA